rnacentral:rRNA from 1 species
UACGUAGGUGGCAAGCGUUGUCCGGAAUCAUUGGGCGUAAAGAGCGUGUAGGCGGUCCGUUAAGUCGGCUGUGAAAGUCCAAGGCUCAACCUUGGGAUGCCGGUCGAUACUGCCGGACUAGAGUUCGGAAGAGGCGAGUGGAAUUCCCGGUGUAGCGGUGAAAUGCGCAGGUAUCGGGAGGAACACCUAUGGCGAAGGCAGCUCGCUGGGACGUUACUGACGCUGAGACGCGAAAGCGUGGGGAGCAAACAGG